CGUACACUCCUGCGGGAGGCAGCAGUGGGGAAUAUUAGACAAUGGGCGCAAGCCUGAUCCAGCCAUGCCGCGUGAGUGAUGAAGGCCCUAGGGUUGUAAAGCUCUUUCACCGGUGAAGAUAAUGACGGUAACCGGAGAAGAAGCCCCGGCUAACUUCGUGCCAGCAGCCGCGGUAAUACGAAGGGGGCUAGCGUUGUUCGGAUUUACUGGGCGUAAAGCGCACGUAGGCGGACUAUUAAGUCAGGGGUGAAAUCCCGGGGCUCAACCCCGGAACUGCCUUUGAUACUGGUAGUCUUGAGUUCGAGAGAGGUGAGUGGAAUUCCGAGUGCAGAGGUGAAAUUCGUAGAUAUUCGGAGGAACACCAGUGGCGAAGGCGGCUCACUGGCUCGAUACUGACGCUGAGGUGCGAAAGCGUGGGGAGCAAACAGGAUUAGAAACCCCGGUAGUCC
rnacentral:rRNA from 1 species